GCACCACUGCAAUCCCACCAUCUUGCUGGGACUUUGCCUUUUUCUUCCUAUAAAAGGGACAACAGUGCUGUCCUUGACCACUGAAAAACCAGGGAGACCAGGAGGUUCCUUCCCCUGCCCGCUUCCUGGAUUCAGAGUUAAUUUCCCUGAAGUCUUCUGGUGGUAGAGGGGAGGGGGCUCAUUUGAUGUCAGCAGGUACGAAGGGAAGGGUUGGAGUGCUGAGAACUGCCCCCAACUUGCUGCUCUUUUUAUUGCAGUGGAGUUCACCGGGCCUCCACAGAAGCCCCCGAGGCUGGGCGCACAGUCCAUCCAGCCCACAGCUAACCUGGACCGGACCGAUGACUUGGUGUACCUCAAUGUCAUGGAGCUGGUGCGGGCCGUGCUGGAGCUCAAGAAUGAGCUCUGUCAGCUGCCCCCCGAGGGCUACGUGGUGGUGGUGAAGAAUGUGGGGCUGACCCUGCGGAAGCUCAUCGGGAGCGUGGACGAUCUCCUGCCUUCC
rnacentral:sRNA from 1 species